AUGAAUCUUCUCGCCUGGGACUGUCGAGGACUGGGGUUGGACUCGACAGUUGGCGAACUCAGAGACCUGAUACGGUCCCACAACCCAGCGGUGGUGUUUUUGAGUAAGACGAAGAAAACGGCCAGGGCUAUGGAGAAUCUCAAGUGGAGCUUAGGAUUUAGAGAGGGGGUGGCAGUUGAUUGUAGGGGGAAAAGCGGCGGUUCAGCAUUGUGGUGGAGAGACAAUGUGCAAGUGACUAUUCGGCCGUGGUGCCAAUAUUUUAUUGAUGUUGCGGUGAUCUUCGAAGGCAAAGCGUGUAGAAUCACUGGAUUCUACGACGAACCUAAAACUGAACUCAUGGGCAAAUCUUGGGAGGCUUUGCGGUUUCUUCGCAGACAGGAUGAUCAGCCAUGGAUCGUUCUUGGUGAUUUCAACGAGGCCCUCCUAUUGACCGAGCAGCAUGGUGGUAACUUGAGAAGCUUUGCGCAAAUGGAUGCUUUUCGGGAGUGUUUGGCGGAUUGUGGUCUAGCUGACUUGGGUUUCCUGGGUUACCCCUUUACGUGGGAUAACAAAAGAGAGGGUGCUGAGAAUAUACAAGUCCGCCUGGAUAGAGCUGUGUGCAAUGAUGGUUUCCUUGCCAUGUAUCCUCACACUACGCUUGACCACGUCAUAACCGAAGAGUCCGAUCACAAUGCCAUUGUGGUAAAGGCUAGGGAGACGGCUCCCGAUGCUAGGUAG
rnacentral:rRNA from 1 species